GAUGAACGCUGGCGGCGUGCCUAAUACAUGCAAGUCGAGCGAACAGACGAGGAGCUUGCUCCUCUGACGUUAGCGGCGGACGGGUGAGUAACACGUGGAUAACCUACCUAUAAGACUGGGAUAACUUCGGGAAACCGGAGCUAAUACCGGAUAACAUGUUGAACCGCAUGGUUUAACAGUGAAAGACGGUCUUGCUGUCACUUAUAGAUGGAUCCGCGCCGCAUUAGCUAGUUGGUAAGGUAACGGCUUACCAAGGCAACGAUGCGUAGCCGACCUGAGAGGGUGAUCGGCCACACUGGAACUGAGACACGGUCCAGACUCCUACGGGAGGCAGCAGUAGGGAAAUUUCCGCAAUGGGCGAAAGCCUGACGGAGCAACGCCGCGUGAGUGAAGAAGGUCUUCGGAUCGUAAAACUCUGUUAUUAGGGAAGAACAAAUGUGUAAGUAACUAUGCACGUCUUGACGGUACCUAAUCAGAAAGCCACGGCUAACUACGUG
rnacentral:rRNA from 1 species